rnacentral:rRNA from 1 species
AUCGACAUUUUGAACGCACAUUGCGGUCCUGGGAUUACAUCCCGGACCACGUCUGGCUGAGGGUC